GCUUCCGUAGCUCAGUUGGCUAGAGCGUUGGUCUCAUAGAUUUCUAUGAUCGAGCUAUAAAGCUUGAGUAAUCCAAAGGUCGUGAGUUCGAGCCUCCCCGGGAGCA